GACGAACGCUGGCGGCGUGCUUAACACAUGCAAGUCGAACGGAAAGGCCCUGCUUUUGUGGGGUGCUCGAGUGGCGAACGGGUGAGUAACACGUGAGUAACCUGCCCUUGACUUUGGGAUAACUUCAGGAAACUGGGGCUAAUACCGGAUAGGAGCUCCUGCUGCAUGGUGGGGGUUGGAAAGUUUCGGCGGUUGGGGAUGGACUCGCGGCUUAUCAGCUUGUUGGUGGGGUAGUGGCUUACCAAGGCUUUGACGGGUAGCCGGCCUGAGAGGGUGACCGGCCACAUUGGGACUGAGAUACGGCCCAGGCUCCUACGGGAGGCAGCAGUGGGGAAUAUUGCACAAUGGGCGGAAGCCUGAUGCAGCAACGCCGCGUGCGGGAUGACGGCCUUCGGGUUGUAAACCGCUUUCGCCUGUGACGAAGCGUGAGUGACGGUAAUGGGUAAAGAAGCACCGGCUAACUACGUGCCAGCAGCCGCGGUGAUACGUAGGGUGCGAGCGUUGUCCGGAUUUAUUGGGCGUAAAGGGCUCGUAGGUGGUUGAUCGCGUCGGAAGUGUAAUCUUGGGGCUUAACCCUGAGCGUGCUUUCGAUACGGGUUGACUUGAGGAAGGUAGGGGAGAAUGGAAUUCCUGGUGGAGCGGUGGAAUGCGCAGAUAUCAGGAGGAACACCAGUGGCGAAGGCGGUUCUCUGGGCCUUUCCUGACGCUGAGGAGCGAAAGCGUGGGGAGCGAACAGGCUUAGAUACCCUGGUAGUCCACGCUGUAAACGGUGGGUACUAGGUGUGGGGUCCAUUCCACGGGUUCCGUGCCGUAGCUAACGCUUUAAGUACCCCGCCUGGGGAGUACGGCCGCAAGGCUAAAACUCAAAGGAAUUGACGGGGCCCCGCACAAGCGGCGGAGCAUGCGGAUUAAUUCGAUGCAACGCGUAGAACCUUACCUGGGUUUGACAUGGAUCGGGAGUGCUCAGAGAUGGGUGUGCCUCUUUUGGGGUCGGUUCACAGGUGGUGCAUGGCUGUCGUCAGCUCGUGUCGUGAGAUGUUGGGUUAAGUCCCGCAACGAGCGCAACCCUUGUUCACUGUUGCCAGCACGUUAUGGUGGGGACUCAGUGGAGACCGCCGGGGUCAACUCGGAGGAAGGUGGGGAUGACGUCAAGUCAUCAUGCCCCUUAUGUCCAGGGCUUCACGCAUGCUACAAUGGCUGGUACAGAGAGUGGCGAGCCUGUGAGGGUGAGCGAAUCUCGGAAAGCCGGUCUCAGUUCGGAUUGGGGUCUGCAACUCGACCUCAUGAAGUCGGAGUCGCUAGUAAUCACAGAUCAGCAACGCUGCGGUGAAUACGUUCCCGGGGCU
rnacentral:rRNA from 1 species